rnacentral:pre_miRNA from 1 species
ACAACAUUCUGCCGUCGGUCUACCGAGCAAUAUCACCCGCUCGAUAGAAGAUCUGCCCCGAUGUCAA